rnacentral:rRNA from 1 species
AGUCGAGCGGAUGACAGGAGCUUGCUCCUGAAUUCAGCGGCGGACGGGUGAGUAAUGCCUAGGAAUCUGCCUGGUAGUGGGGGACAACGUUUCGAAAGGAACGCUAAUACCGCAUACGUCCUACGGGAGAAAGCAGGGGACCUUCGGGCCUUGCGCUAUCAGAUGAGCCUAGGUCGGAUUAGCUAGUUGGUGAGGUAAUGGCUCACCAAGGCGACGAUCCGUAACUGGUCUGAGAGGAUGAUCAGUCACACUGGAACUGAGACACGGUCCAGACUCCUACGGGAGGCAGCAGUGGGGAAUAUUGGACAAUGGGCGAAAGCCUGAUCCAGCCAUGCCGCGUGUGUGAAGAAGGUCUUCGGAUUGUAAAGCACUUUAAGUUGGGAGGAAGGGUUGUAGAUUAAUACUCUGCAAUUUUGACGUUACCGACAGAAUAAGCACCGGCUAACUCUGUGCCAGCAGCCGCGGUAAUACAGAGGGUGCAAGCGUUAAUCGGAAUUACUGGGCGUAAAGCGCGCGUAGGUGGUUCGUUAAGUUGGAUGUGAAAUCCCCGGGCUCAACCUGGGAACUGCAUUCAAAACUGUCGAGCUAGAGUAUGGUAGAGGGUGGUGGAAUUUCCUGUGUAGCGGUGAAAUGCGUAGAU